rnacentral:rRNA from 1 species
GACGAACGCUGGCGGCGUGCCUAACACAUGCAAGUCGAACGAAGCUUUUGAUUUAGGUUGAGAGCUUAGUGGCGGACGGGUGAGUAACGCGUGAGUAACCUGCCUUACAGAGGGGGAUAACGUCUGGAAACGGACGCUAAUACCGCAUGACAUUUCUUUAUCACAUGGUAAAGAAAUCAAAGGAGCAAUCCGCUGUAAGAUGGACUCGCGUCCGAUUAGCUAGAUGGUGAGAUAACAGCCCACCAUGGCGACGAUCGGUAGCCGGACUGAGAGGUUGAACGGCCACAUUGGGACUGAGACACGGCCCAGACUCCUACGGGAGGCAGCAGUGGGGGAUAUUGCACAAUGGAGGAAACUCUGAUGCAGCAACGCCGCGUGAAGGAUGAAGGUCUUCGGAUUGUAACUUUUGUACUUGGGGACGAUAAUGACGGUACCCAAGCAGCAAGCUCCGGCUAACUACGUGCCAGCAGCCGCGGUAAUACGUAGGGAGCAAGCGUUGUCCGGAUUACUGGGUGU